GGGCCCGCACAAGCGGAGGAACAUGUGGUUUAAUUCGAUGAUACGCGAGGAACCUUACCUGGGCUUAAAUGUAGCGUGACCGUAUCCGAAAGGGUAUUUCCAAGCAAUUGGCAGGUUACAAGGUGCUGCAUGGCUGUCGUCAGCUCGUGCCGUGAGGUGUCGGGUUAAGUCCCAUAACGAGCGCAACCCCUAUUGUUAGUUGCCAUCGGGUCAUGCCGGGAACUCUAACGAGACUGCCACCGUAAGGUGAGAGGAAGGUGGGGAUGACGUCAAGUCAGCACGGCCCUUAUGUCCAGGGCUACACACGUGUUACAAUGGUCAGUACAAAGGGCUGCUACCUGGUGACAGGAUGCAAAUCUCAAAAACUGAUCCCAGUUCGGAUCGAAGUCUGCAACUCGACUUCGUGAAGUUGGAUUCGCUAGUAAUCGUAUAUCAGCAAUGAUACGGUGAAUACGUUCCCGGGCCUU
rnacentral:rRNA from 1 species